CCUACGGGGGGCAGCAGUGAGGAAUAUUGGUCAAUGGCCGUAAGGCUGCACCAGCCAAGUCGCGUGAAGGAAGAAGGAUCUAUGGUUUGUAAACUUCUUUUAUAGGGGAAUAAUGGUCACGUGUGGCCAGACGAGAGUACCGUACGAAUAAGCAUCGGCUAACUCCGUGCCAGCAGCCGCGGUAAUACGGGGGAUGCAAGCGUUAUCCGGAUUUAUUGGGUUUAAAGGGUGCGUAGGCUGUGAGGUAAGUCAGCGGUGAAAUGCCCCCGCUCAACGGGGUGAAGUGCCAUUGAUACUGCCUGGCUGGAAUGCGGAUGCCGUGGGAGGAAUGUGUGGUGUAGCGGUGAAAUGCAUAGAUAUCACACAGAACACCGAUUGCGAAGGCAUCUCACGAAUCCGCGAUUGACGCUGAUGCACGAAAGCGUGGGUAUCAAACAGGAUUAGAUACCCUAGUAGUC
rnacentral:rRNA from 1 species